CGAAUAUAUUAUUUAUUUCGUUUGAGUUGCUAACAUAUAUGGCUCAUUCUGGUACAAUGUUCAUGCAAAAUUUAUACUGAUAAAGUAUAGAUCGAUAUGAAUACCGAUUUUCUUAUUACUAAUAUCCCAUCAUUUACACUAAAAUAAGAAUAUCGAAUUAUUGGACCUAUACUUCAGUUCUAUGAUAUCUACCAAUACACCA
rnacentral:lncRNA from 1 species